AUUGAACGCUGGCGGCAGGCCUAACACAUGCAAGUCGAGCGGAUGACGGGAGCUUGCUCCUUGAUUCAGCGGCGGACGGGUGAGUAAUGCCUAGGAAUCUGCCUGGUAGUGGGGGACAACGUUUCGAAAGGAACGCUAAUACCGCAUACGUCCUACGGGAGAAAGCAGGGGACCUUCGGGCCUUGCGCCAUCAGAUGAGCCUAGGUCGGAUUAGCUAGUUGGUGGGGUAAUGGCUCACCAAGGCGACGAUCCGUAACUGGGCUGAGAGGAUGAUCAGUCACACUGGAACUGAGACACGGUCCAGACUCCUACGGGAGGCAGCAGUGGGGAAUAUUGGACAAUGGGCGAAAGCCUGAUCCAGCCAUGCCGCGUGUGUGAAGAAGGUCUUCGGAUUGUAAAGCACUUUAAGUUGGGAGGAAGGGCAGUAAGUUAAUACCUUGCUGUUUUGACGUUACCGACAGAAUAAGCACCGGCUAACUCUGUGCCAGCCGCCGCAGUAAAAC
rnacentral:rRNA from 1 species